GGCACCAUUCAAGUUAAAGCAGCGCAGGCAAGUUUAUAACAUCAGGAAGAGAAACUGCUGCCUGAUCUCUGAGCUACCCAAGUCUUGUGCUCAGGAAGCUGAAAGGAACUACAAAAAUCCCUGCAAAGUGGUCCCUGCUGGCAAAAAGAACCCUCAAGACAAAACCCAAGGUUUAUUACGGAGUAUGAAAAUCAGGAAGCUUUUUGUUCACUUCAUACAUCUCUUCCGACAAAGCCAGGCAUCAGAACCCGGCACAGACUCCAGAGUGAUUAUUGUUACACAUGAUCUAUGGAGCAGAUAAAUUACAGCUUGAUUUUUAUAAGUCUGUUGCACCGGAGCUGUCGGCCAUGCUGUUCCAGUUCAGGGGCUCCUGCAACAGAAAAGAUCAGCUGUUGGAGAACCCAUGGAAAGCCCUGGGGGAGAGCCAUGGCCGCAAGGUAAUCAGCAGGCAAAGUUAUUACCAUUAUGCUGCUAAUUAAUUCCCAGCUCAUUACGUUUCCUGUGGCUAAUUUGUACUCGCCGCUGAUUUGAUUAAACUCAUCUCUAUGCUAAUAAAUGUGUUUUCCAUUUGUUUUAGCGACUGUAGGAAGAGAGCCCGGUAUUUACAUAUUUUGACGUUUAUCAAAUAAAACGCGGUGCCUGAAUUAAUUCUGCUCUGAUUUAUAAGUGGGGGGAAGGGGAGCGCCGGGGCGCUGGGGGUCAGCCACAAAGUGGGUGUGCAUGGCGGGUUGUGGGGAUGCCGGGGUGCAGAGAUGCGUGGGGUGCUUCCCUACCAGUCCCAUCCUGCCCAGGGAUGGAGUCCCAUGGGCUCAUCCUGCACGAGCCUUGCUGUGGGGCAAUGCCCAUAGGAGUGGAAAAUCCUUUGCUUUCCCCGAAGUGACCUCCCAGCACCUCCUGGCCACCUCCUCCAGGGUCUCACCCACCUCAUCAGCUGUCCUGCUGCUAUUGAUUUCCCCUUCUAGCUAUGUUUUUUUUUUUUUUUUUUGAGGGGGGGGAAUGGACACAUGGACACUCGUCGGGUGGAUUUUUCUUUGUCUUCCAGAAACUGCUCUAAAUGGAGAGGAUAUCAUACUGCAGCACCUAAUUACAAGCGGUGACUUUAUUUCUGAGCUCCCUGUGGCAGGACUCACUGCAGUAACACCAGGCUCCCACCAGCUGGGACUCCUAAUCAGGCACAAACGUACACCUUGUGAUGCAUACACAAAUGUAUACAUCACAGGCACCUGCCUUCUCCUUUCUCCCCAUGGCAAAUAGCAUGGCAGGAGGCUCUGCCUUGACCCCAGCAGUUACCUCUAAAACUCAAGAUAAAGUCUUUGGAACAGAUCUUCAGCAAGUGCAACUCCAUUGGAAACAGCAUCCUCUUCCUUAUAAUUAAUUGAUGUAACAUCAUCCUUCUCUUUAUCUGGGGCAAAUCCUAACAGGAAAAUAAUCUGAGAGUGUGAGUCAGUGGGAUUUGUGCUUUUCAGUCACUCAAAGAUUUGUGAAAUCCCUCCUUUCCUUUUGCUAGGAAAACUAGCCAUUAUCACCAAGCAGAUUCUCUGUGCCCACAUGUGUGCAUCACAUUAUGUUUGCGCACGCACAUUUAUCCCUCAGCUUCCCCCUGCACUCUCAGCAGAAGUUUCCUGGCAAAGCUGGCCCCAACACAUUGCUUCCCACUCUGUGAUCCCUUGCACUGCCACCGCUCACCCCAGGCAAUCUGGGAACAGCUUGAUAGCUUAAGUAACAAUUAACCUCCUUGUCUUUUGGGAGCACUUCUGGUGCACUGUGCUCAUCCCCAGCUCCAGAGCAGCGUUACCCAAACUGCUGCCUGGCUCCUACACAUCCUUAUGUGUGGAGGGCACCUCUGAGCCCACCCUGCAGCCUCCAGGAGGCUCCCUCUGCUCUCCUGUGAACAUACCUGUUUGUGUCACUGCACAAGGUAUAUGGGACAAAGAUGUCAUUUCCUCAAUGUCUUUUGGAGCCCAUAGCAGCAAAACCUCUGUUGGUUGUUAUGAUAUCAGCUCCUCUCCUUUGCUGCCAGUAGAAGUCAAAGGUGGCUUUCCUUGUACUGGUGUCCCUGCCCCCAUCAGCCUGUCUCAAUGUUCACCAUCUUUCUCCAGUGUCCAUCUCUUUGUCCCAGUGUCCAUCUCCCUGUCCCAAAGUCCAUCACUCUGUCCUCAGUCCAUCUCUAUGUCUCUGUGCCCAUCACCUUGUCUCCAACUAUCUCCCUGACCCCACAUUCCUCACCCCUCUCCCCAAGCAGCCCAUCACCCUGUCUCCAUGCCCAUCCCCAUGUUCCCAUGCCCAUCACUCCAUCCCCAUGCCCAUCCCCAUGUCCCCAUGGCCAUCUCUCAUGCCUCCUCCCUUGAGCUCAUGCAGAAAUGCGGGUGCAACUGAAAGUUCCCAGGCCCUACACAGCAUUUUCCCCAUUUCAUUAGAAUAACCUGCUAAGCCACGUGAUGGUGCAAUUGUGGGACUUUUCCUACAAAAGAUUUUAAGCCUUUGCAAAAAGGGGAAGUAUUACUGACAAAAAAAAAAAGCACCUUGUU